rnacentral:lncRNA from 8 species
GGCUCAAUGGAGCUGCUGCUGAGCCCCAGGUCUGAACCACCCUGGUUCUCCUGGCAGCACCGCUGCAUCAUCCACAGCCUGCUGAGGAGAAAGCAUUCCGCUUGGCGCUGAAGUAUCUAUACUGGAUCAGACCAGCCACAAACAGCCCCUACGACCUCAAGCUCUCUGUGGAUGUACUCCUACAGAACAGGUAUAGAUAUACAAAGAUAUACUAUACUGCAUAGACUAGUGUAUGAAAUACUGUCUCUCUGAAUAUGAAAACUGUAAGCCAUACAAUCUAGUUUUCUCUGCCCCUCAGCCAUGUCUCAGAUGCCUGGGCCCUCCUAAAGAAAGGUCACACAGGAAGUGAUGACAUGGUCAGGUACUUCCUCAAUGGAUGUGAGAGGCUUGGCCUAUGUGUGGAGGCUUCAGACUGCAUGGAAGCAGUAUGGAAGGAUGUAGGCCAUUGUACUAAUCAGUCAGAAGAGACUGAGAGUCAGUGUGGAAUAGAGGGGUUUCCUCAGCAUUGGUGGACCACAGGGAUCCCUAUGGCAGUGAAAGAGCCAGGUACAGAUCAGUGAUUGUGACUGAUACUGAUUUCAGAAAUAUCAUCAUCACUAUCAAGUAUUCUGAAAGUCAUUGAAAUGUUGGGAAUUGCAGGGGUUCCCAUUCGUCCGUUCUCUGCCCUGCAGUAUCAGUCUCACACCAGCAACACUCUCUCCAGAGGAUUGGAUCAGACUCCUCAGGGAAUCUAUGAUUGAACUCAGACAACUCCAGCCAACAGUGAGCGCUGCCUCCUCUUUGCCCCCUCUGAGAUGGGGCAUCCCAUAUGUGUAUGGAGGCACAGUGAUGCUGCAGCAGAUCUCCUCCCUGCUUAGUGAUGGAGGAGGGUGUCACAGCAGGCAGGAUGACAGCCCAUCCCUCCCAGCAGACAAACUCCACCCAGGCUGCCCUGACCUGCUUCUGACCCUAGAGGGCGCCACAGACCCUGUCUCCUUCAACAGCCUGAGUCUAGACAGCAGGAAUGUGGAGGAGCUGGUGUUCUCCACUGAGUGGGGAGUAGAGGAGAUCAUGACCUGUGAUGCCAGGAGACGACCUCGUAAUUGUGAAAGAGGAGGCAGUUCCCCAUGUGUAUGUAACAUUAGACAGAAUGUUACAUAUACAUUUACACAAUGGCUAUGUUUACUUUUUUUUUCAACAGACUGA